CAUACUGCUUCCUUUUCUUCCGUAAACACAGAGCAGACACGGAGCAGCGGGAGCUAGCGGCAGAAAUGAGCCAAAACGCGAUGAAUUAUGGACAUAAAGUGGAUCAAUCUUGGAUGUAACGAUCCAGAAAAAAGCCAAAAGUUCCAGGCUGGGUAGAAAAUCACCUGUAGAGGCUAGAAAGACCCGGAAGCGACCUCCGGAACCGCUAAUGCGUUACGUUUAAGCCGCAAUUUAUGGGAGCACAACUUGAGAGGUCCCUGCAUGGUGCUACACCAAACCUGAGGACCAUGGACGCCAAGGAAGAUGGAAGAUGCCAUGCGUCUUGAUGUCCUGGGUGUCAACCGAGAACAGAUUAAAAAGGGUCCCUGGGAUUGAAGAGGGGCAUAAAUCUGACAACUGCUGGGUCCAUUUUGGGUCGGAUGAUUCGUCGCGGGCGCUGCGAGGUCUGGACCCAAAUGCAGAGAGGAGGCAAGGAUUUAUUUAACAUGACUUUGUGUUAUCCGCUCACCGCGGCUUAAUCGGUUGCAUGUUUGCCGAGCCAGGAUGAGAAGGAGAAGCUAUGUCCAGCCAGGUGUAGACAGCUGGGAUAAGGGCACGUUCACGGCUUUCUUAACUAGACCACGGUACCCAUCACAGAUGUACUGAUGCAGGAUGGAGAAGACCUUUGUUCAAACUUUAUACAGAGUGAGAAGCAACUUCUUGUGGAAGUAUGAUAAUGUGAAACACAUCAUUUGUAAAAAGGAAACAGGGCCGCUGUAAUGAAACAGUGAGAGAAAGCGUGGCAGAUGAUCACACUGAAGAAAUUGGACUCUAAAAUCUAGAAGCUAUAAAGAUAAUUAAGUGAUAAAUAAACAGGAAUGUAACAGUCUAUUCAUCUGUUAUUCUUCCCCCAGCAAAAUAUAAUGUCAAAAACCAAUGGGGUGUCCUCUCCCUGUUGUUACAGGAAUGUACAGUACACUUCAACACUAGAUAAUUAUUGGUCUAGUCAAUUAAGACAAUAAUUUUGUUUUGGAAAUGCUCUUAAAAUUCUACAAUCCUUCUGACUUUUGGGGUUUUAAACAGGAGGUGUCAGAAAAGUUACCUUUGGGAUUCUGACUUAGAGGCGUUCAGUCUUUAUUAAUAAUGAUAAUCAUAAUAUUGUUCGUAAACAGAGUUUUUCCACCUACGUUUAAAAAAGAAAAUGUCAUCUACACAAGCAAGGUUUAAAAAAAACCUCUGUCCACAUUAAAUGCAAAAACACGCUAUGAAGCGCUGUCAAGAGCAUGCUGAUCCAACAGGUGGCAAUGUAACCAUGUUGGCCAAUCAGAAGCCUGAAGUUCCAGAAGGCUAACAACAAGGCACACUGAGGACGGGGAGAGUCAAAUGUGUGGACUGAUGAUGGCGUUCAGUUAUUCCUUAAUGGCAAACUUUAAUACAAAGUUAGCAAAACCCAGGAAAAACAUGUUCUGGGAGUCUUGCCGAUAUCCUAGCUCUUUUUCUUGAGCAGCCAUUAAGCCUUUCUUUGGCUUUGUCUGCCACUGCAGAUACUCGCCUCAUGCAAACAAAGGAGACAACGGUGCGCACUCUGACGUCACGAGCCAAAAUCUCCGGUUUCACCGGCUACAUAACACCGAUGCAACCAGAGAUUCUGAAAAUCUUCACCCUGGCAGGAAGGUUUUUAACCCUCUGGGCCCUGAGGCCAUUUUUGCAGUUUAAUUUCCGUCUGGAUUUAUUUUAUAAAAAAGCUUGUAAAACAUCAACCCUGUUGUCUACAGUCAAGAUAUGAACAUCAUUUUUUUUAGGACAAACUGGGUUAUUGGAAU